UUUCAGCUUUGUACAUUAUAAAAAUCUGUAAAUGUUUGAUAAAGAACCUUGAAAAUGUCAAAUCUUUGAUAAGCAAGCCUGAACAGCACAUCGAAUGCUCAGUUGUCGGCGAUGUUCGAGCGGUGAGGUCAUUUAUUUCUGUUGUGCUUUAAAGCUUGAAUAAAAUCGUACUACCGAUAAAUUUAAAGUUAUUUUUAAUAUAGAGUGCAUCGCAGAGCUUUUACGUUUUUAAUUACUACAUGUGCAGGAUUAUAAGGAUCUUCAAUUAUCGUCCGGGGGCCGAUUUGAAUAUAUUCAAUGGUGACGAUUAUUUUGUGAAAUUCAAGAAUGUCCUUGUAUCAUGAUGGAGUUCCACCACUUUCACUAAGGGUAUUAAAUUGGAUCCUUUUGGUGUCAUAACCCGUACGAAUUUACCCCCUACCAGUUCGUCUAGUUUCAAUGGUGAUUAAUUUGUUUCAAAAUUCAAGGAUGUCCUUAUAUCAUGAUGGGGGUUCCACCACUUUCCACUAAGGGUAACAAAAUGGAUCGUUUUGGCUUCAUUGAAUCCUGCCCUCCACCAAUUCGUCUAGCUUCAAUGGUGAUGAUUGUCUAUCAAAAUUCAGAACAUAUAGUUGUAUCAUGAUGGCGUUCCACCACUUCCACUAAGAGUGAUAAAAUGGGUCAUUUUGGUGACAUAACUGAUAGGAAUUUACUACCUACCAAUUCGUCUGGCUUCAAUGGUGAUGAGUGUCUCUCAAAAUUCAAAAGAUAUCGUUGUAUCAUGUUGGAGUUCCACCACUUCCUCUGAGGGUAAUAAAAUGGGUCAUUUUGGUGUCAUUACUCAUAGGAAUUUGCCACCUACCAAUUUGUCUGGCUUCAAUGGUGAUGAGUGUCUCUCAAAAUUCAAAAGAUAUCGUUGUAUCAUGUUGGAGUUCCACCACUUCCUCUGAGGGUAAUAAAAUGGAUCAUUUUGGUGUCAUUACUCAUAGGAAUUUGCCACCUACCAAUUUGUCUGGCUUCAAUGGUGAUGAGUGUCUCUCAAAAUUCAAAAGAUAUCGUUGUAUCAUGUUGGAGUUCCACCACUUCCUCUGAGGGUAAUAAAAUGGAUCAUUUUGGUGCCAUUACUCAUAGGAAUUUGCCACCUACCAAUUUGUCUGGCUUCAGUGGUAAUGAGUGUCUUUCGAAAUUCGAAUGAUAUCGUUGUAUCACGUUGGAGUUCCACCACUUUCAUUGAGGGCAAUGGAAUGGGUCAUUUUGGUGUCAUACUCAUAGGAAUUUGCCACCUACCAAUUCGUCUGGCUUCAGUGGUGAUUGGUGUCUUCAAUAAUUCAAGGAUGUUCUUGUAUCAUGAUGGAAUUCCACCACUUUCAUUGAGGGCAAUGGAAUGGGUCAUUUUGGUGUAAUACUCAUAGGAAUUUGCAACCUACCAAUUC